UACAGAGGGGGCAAGCGUUGUUCGGAUUCAUUGGGCGUAAAGGGUGCGUAGGCGGCGGGGAAAGUCUGAUGUGAAAUCCUGGGGCUCAACCCUGGAACUGCAUUGGAUACUUCCUUGCUAGAGUACUGGAGAGGAAACUGGAAUUUACGGUGUAGCAGUGAAAUGCGUAGAGAUCGUAAGGAAGACCAGUGGCGAAGGCGAGUUUCUGGACAGUUACUGACGCUGAGGCACGAAGGCCAGGGGAGCAAACGGG
rnacentral:rRNA from 1 species